GCUUAGACACUGAACAGAGAGUAAGAAGUGAGGAUUUUAACCCAGUGAUUAGAGAAGAGGUGAAGGAAUUAUGGGAGAAAGAAAAACGUAACAACGAAAUAAGAAAAGAAACCAUAUACUUGAUGUGGAAAAAAAGAGAGAAAAAAAGGAAAGAGCUAAACAAAUAAACAAACAAAAACAAAAAAUA